rnacentral:lncRNA from 1 species
GUGAGCCUUGGCUCCAGUACCUGAGACUAUUCAUGAUUUCGAAUACUAAGGCAGCAGCCAAGAGAAUCUGGGAAGAAGGCCACCUCACCUUCUCAUUGACCACGGGCUCUCGAGUGCUCAGGACUUAGCCUGAACUCCAGGGCCAUCCAAACACAGGUUUGAAUGAAACCAGUGCAGGUGACUAGGAGACAAAGGCGCCUCGCCGCCGCCAAGCUUUUGUGCUUAGGCUCAGAACGGCUUGUUAGUAUCCUGCCUGACAACUUUGUGAGCUUUUUCUAUCCACUGGGAAGGCCUUUUGUGGCGUCCUAUACCUUCCUUUCUGACUUUCUUUUUGCACCUCCACAUUUGGCAAACACGAAAGGAAUGGCUAAAUCAGAACUCAUAUACCCGGAACCUAGGGAGACAGGAUCAGGGGAGUGGAAGGUGGGAGGAGGAGGGAGUAAGACUGAAAAAAUCCGCUAGUACCUCUACUGCUACGCAUGCUUCUCUUUCAUCUCUGCCUUCUCCUCUGGGUCCCACCUUACCGUAUGCCAUGCCACAGUAACAUCCCACUACCUUGAGAGAAGUUCCUGUGAGUGGUAAUGGCCUUGUCUGUGAGUGGCAGCUAAUGAAUGACGUGUGGGAGCAUAUGAAAUAGCUACAGUCCCUGUAAAACAUCCCCACAAUGCUCCGGGAGAGUACCUGCAUCUCCGAAGCAUCCUGGGCAGCAUUUUUUAAAAGGUUGCUGGAGAGAUGGCUCAGUAGUUAAAAACGUGUACUGCUCUUGCAGAGGACCUGAAAGGGUUUGUGUCAGGUAGCUCACAGUACCUCUGGCUCCUGAGGAUCUGAUCUCCUCUUCUGGACUCCAUGGCCACCUGCAAACACACACACACACACACACACACACACACACACACACACACACACACACACACUUAAAAACGGCACACACCUAUACUUUUAAAAUAAUAAGAUAAAUCGUUAAAAUAAAUAAGCAAAUUAAAGGCCAAUGGAACCAGGGUGUCUCCAUUGAAGUAGUGUUCCCAACUGCUAGAGUAUACUAUGUCAUCUUAGGCAACCAAAAAGGAAAAGUACCACAAAGUAAGGGACACCAAGGAAGGAACACUGUCUCAAGAAGCUAUUCCCAAUGCUCGUCUGUGUCUGGGAAAGGUGGUGAUGCUGAAAACUCUAACAAGACCUCAGGAUGCCGUUCUGCCUGUAGGCCUGAGUGACCUAGAAGGCCCUCUUAGGCAGCUCUGCAUUGUGCUGACCAGACCAGCAUGAUAGGGCACUCUGGGGGCUGCAGGCUGAGCUAGGUGGACCAGCAAGCAUGACGCUGUGAGCUACUUCUCUGUCCUGGGAGCCUGGAAGACAUUCACUAUCACCCGCUGAAAAGCUGUCCCUCUGUCCAGCAGCCCUGGAGAUGGCUGGCUAAGAAGGUAUAUGGGGAGAAAAGGGCCAAUAUAUCGUCUCCCACUAGAAACAGAAACAAAGACAACACUAAGUAAUGGUCACUAGAGCUAGCCCACCAGGUAAUGCCUGUGUGCCAGUAGUAUUAACAACUGUCUGCACUGUGGCAUAAAGUGUUAAUGUUUGGUCUGUUGCAAUGGAUUGUAAUGCUAAAUUCUGUACCUGAAGAUCUAGGCCUACAAGUGAAUUCUCACAUUUACACACUUUUGUUGUGCAAACCUUGUUCCUUGAUUUAAAAUGAUUGGUUAGCCUGGCAGUAGUGACCCAUGCCUUUAAUCCCAGCACUUGGGAGGCAGAGACAGGUCAGCCUGGUCUACAGAGUAAGUUCCAGGACAGCCAGAGCUACACAGAGAAACCCUGUCUCAACAAAC